rnacentral:lncRNA from 1 species
AAUAUUGCUUUUUAGGCCCCCCCAAUAUCUCUUUAGGCCCCCUAAAAAUACAAAAAUAACCUUUAUAAUACAUCCGGUAGUUACAUACCGGUAGUGCAUUUUAAAUUUUCACAUUUUACACCUUCGGUAUGUACAUACCGGAGGCACAUUUACAAAUUUUCGCGUUUAUCACAUUCGGUACUUAUGUUCUGGAGGAACAUUCAUUUUGCGAUUUCUCAAUUACACCUCCGGUAUAUAUAUACCGUACUCCACCCACGUUGUUAUCUGUAUAUAAUGGUGCAGUUUUUUAAGAGUUAUUUUCUAAGCUUCAAUAUUGUUCCAUACCUUGCGUUUUUUGGCCAAUUUUUGUUGUGUUUUCAUCACAAUUAAUAUAACAAAUAGUGUCAAUCUUCAUUCAAUUGCAAUCAUUUAGAAGGUAAACCUUGCUUCUUCCUCUCUCGUAUUGUUUCUGCAUAAUUUUUUUAGAGUUCUGUCAGAUUCAAUGAAAAGUUUGAUCCUUUUAUUUCUGUAAAUUUUAUGCACCCUACCAAAAGUUUGUGAAUUUUCCAACAUAACAGAGCAUGUACAUUUGAAUAACAUAAUGCGAUAAAUGCGAAAAUUUGUAAAUGUGCCCCUGGUAUGUACAUACCGAAGGUGUAAAAUGUGAAAAUUUAAAAUGCACUACCGGUAUGUAACUACCGGAUGUGUUAUAAAGGUUAUUUUUGUAUUUUUAGGGGGCCUAAAGAGAUAUUGGG